rnacentral:piRNA from 1 species
UGAGGACGUUGUCUUAAUCAGAGCGCUUA